rnacentral:rRNA from 1 species
ACACGGGGGGCGCAAGCGUUUUUCGGAAUUAUUGGGCGUAAAGGGCGCGUAGGCGGUCUUGUCGGUCAGAUGUGAAAGCCCAGGGCUCAACCCUGGACGUGCAUUUGAAACAGCAAGACUUGAGUACGGGAGAGGAAAGCGGAAUUCCUGGUGUAGAGGUGAAAUUCGUAGAUAUCAGGAGGAACACCGAUGGCGAAGGCAGCUUUCUGGACCGAUACUGACGCUGAGGCGCGAAGGCGUGGGUAGCGAACAGGAUUAGAAACCCUAGUAGUCC